UCUACCUUUAGUUUCAAACAGCUGCCUGAUAUGACCUCAAACUGUGUUUUAGUUCAGCACUGCUCACCUCGCUUCUCAGUGAAAUAAGGAAACAUGACUUAUCUGCCUCCUGCUCCUCAGUUGGAUCGCUCUAAAAGUAGCUCAGUUUAAUGGACCAGGUGCAGCUGAGGAGCAUUUGCACCAUUUUAAAAGAUUUUGGCCUUUUCCCACUGCUGUAAGAAGAUUUCUGACCUCUUGUUGCUGAACCCUGCCUGCCUCUGACCCUGCCUCCAGUUUUCUGUCUAUUGGAUUUACAUUGCCUGAGAAGGUCCCGUGCAUGACCCUGGAUUGUAUCGACGACUAAGUCUCUGGUUUGUGGAUUUUGUCCCUGUCAUCUGGUUGUCCCUGAGCCCCCGUGGCCCCACUGCCCAUUCACCCUACCCUCCCCAAGAUGGCUUCCCAACCCCUGUGGUUCCUCCAUUUCUGACUCAUCAGUGUGACCACACCCUGUGGAGCCCCCUCUUCACCCUUUUUUAGUAAUAAACUUUUGUGUACUGAACACUUGUCUUGGCUGCGUUUUGGGUUCUGGCUGAUUUUGCUUGUACAUUACAGACCUAGCCGUUUUUGCUACAUGACCCCAUCUGAACUUGUAAUUUGCAUUUAGCGGCUUGCAGC